AAUCAGGUGGUGGGGGCAUGCGUCUAGGAGAUUAUUGAAGCACUCCCAAUACUCAUAGAGAGUCUCAGAUUCGCCUUGAAUAAUCAUUGAGAUUUCUUUUCUCAGUCU